CGCAGGAAAACCCAGAGGUUUCUUAUCCGGGACAGUCAAGGAACAGAUGGAGUGGUUCUCUCUGUGAGCCCCAACCCCACUUUGAGAUACACACCAUCAAGGUCCAAGGCGUCGAACCCGCAGCUGUCAUUGUCUUCUUCCACUGUGCUGC